rnacentral:rRNA from 1 species
CACGUAGGAGGCGAGCGUUGUCCGGAAUUAUUGGGCGUAAAGAGCUCGUAGGCGGCCUGUCGCGUCGAUCGUGAAAACUUGGGGCUUAACCCUGAGCUUGCGGUCGAUACGGGCAUGACUGGAGUUCGGCAGGGGAGACUGGAAUUCCCGGUGUAGUGGUGAAAUGCGUAGAUAUCGGGAGGAACACCAAUGGCGAAGGCAGCUCGCUGGGACGGUACUGACGCUGAGGCGCGAAAGCGUGGGGAGCAAACAGG